CACGGGGGGAGCAAGCGUUGUUCGGAAUCACUGGGCGUAAAGGGCGUGCAGGCGGUCAGGUAAGUGGGAUGUGAAAUGCCCCGGCUCACCCGGGGACCGGCAUCUCAUACUGCUUGGCUUGAGUACGGGAGAGGAUGUGGGAAUUCCUGGUGUAGCGGUGAAAUGCGUAGAUAUCUGGAGGAACACCGGUGGCGAAGGCGGUUCUCUGGGCCUUACCUGACGCUGAGGAGCGAAAGCGUGGGGAGCGAACAGG
rnacentral:rRNA from 1 species